rnacentral:rRNA from 1 species
CAGUCGCCGCGGUAAUACGAAGGGUGCAAGCGUUAAUCGGAAUUACUGGGCGUAAAGCGUGCGUGGGCGGUUUGUUAAGUCUGCUGUGAAAUCCCCGGGCUCAACCUGGGAAUGGCAAUGGAUACUGGCAAGCUAGAGUGUGUCAGAGGAUGGUGGAAUUCCCGGUGUAGCGGUGAAAUGCGUAGAGAUCGGGAGGAACAUCAGUGGCGAAGGCGGCCAUCUGGGACAACACUGACGCUGAGGCACGAAAGCGUGGGGAGCAAACAGGAUUAGAUACCCGCGUAGUCCCUGUCUCUUAUAC